rnacentral:rRNA from 1 species
AGCAGCAGCCGCGGGAAUACAGAGGGUGCGAGCGUUAAUCGGAUUUACUGGGCGUAAAGCGUGCGUAGGCGGCUUCUUAAGUAGGAUGUGAAAUCCCUGAGCUUAACUUAGGAAUUGCAUUCGAUACUGGGAAGCUAGAGUAUGGGAGAGGAUGGUAGAAUUCCAGGUGUAGCGGUGAAAUGCGUAGAGAUCUGGAGGAAUACCGAUGGCGAAGGCAGCCAUCUGGCCUAAUACUGACGCUGAGGUACGAAAGCAUGGGGAGCAAACAGGAUUAGAUACCCCUGUAGUCCCUGUCUCUUAUAC